GGUAUCUUUUAUGCUAUUGAGCCUCGUCUUGUGCUUCUGUGGUGUUUUUAGUGUUAUCUUGUUGUACAGCACUUUUAAAUUGUGAUAUGUAAAGUGGAUUGGAUAAAUGCAGCGCUGUGAUCUUCAGUAAUGGCAUUUGUGUGGGGGGAACUACUUGACAAGUGUGAUACUUGUACUAGUGUAUGCUUAAAUUGAAGAUUUCCCUGUAAUGAAAUGGAAUCAUUCUAGCUCCUGCCAAGGCUAAACUCUCCUUGGUUUGAAGCCUGCACUUGGGAGUAAAACCAAAUUUUAAUCUCGAAUUUUCUCUCCAUGACAAAUCCGCGACCAAGCGACGGUAAAGGCAUGUUUCUUUCUCUAGUGAUCAUUUCCAUAAUGUUUGAAUAGGCCUACCUUCAAGACGGUGGACUUCUACAGGAAGCACCAGGACUCCAUGACCCCAGCCGGUCUGGGCUUCUUCCAGAGCCAGUGGGACGAGUCGGUCACCAACACCUUCCACAACAUGCUUGACAUGAAGGAGCCGGUGUUUGAGUUUGUGCGACCCCCCCCCCCCCCGUGUACCACCCGCCGCAGGUCAAGUUCCCCCACAGGCAGCCGCUCCGCUACCUGGACCGCUACCGUGAGGGCAAGGAGCACACCUACGGCAUCUACUGAGCCCCACAGACACACACAUCUGGAGCUACCGCUGGACGACAUGUUAAUAUAAUAAAUUGUUUUAUUUGUA